CUGCGUAUUUUGUUGCCGAGAUUACGAGAAUCAUCCUUUCUGUUUAUACAGAACGAAGAAACGUUACACCGGGAGGCCGCUGGGCCCCCAAGCCUGGGGAAUAGAAAGCAGAUGUUGUCCUCGAUGCGUAAGCCCUCGCAGUCUCGCUGCAGCCUCCUGUGCUGUGUCUUCAUGGAAGAAGUGCAAUCCUCAUUUCAGACUCCACAAAGCAAAGGGACUGCAGGAGAAAAAGCUCAUGGGCUAGAGUGCUUUACCAGGAUCUCAUUUCCCUCAUGGCAAAAUGAGGUGGAUCAUAUUGGGUGGUACUGAAGACCCUUGGAGUUGGGGCACCUGUGAAGGAAGACAGCAGAAAAAUGAUUUAAUUGCCCUUGGAAAGUUGUCAUCAGGAAAUCAGAGGAGCCCAGUAGGAGGAACGCAUGACGCAGCCUGGAGGCAGGAGGGAGGCUCCCCAGAGGAGGUGACAUUUCAUCUGAAGUGAAGAGCAUGUGGAGCGGGCCAGCAGUGGGGAGUGGAGGAGCGCUUCAGGUAGGCUGUGUAGACCUGAAGGUGGGACAGUGUAGGGACCUAAGGAAGCUCCUGUGGCCGGUGUAAGU
rnacentral:lncRNA from 1 species